rnacentral:rRNA from 1 species
UACAGAGGUCUCAAGCGUUGUUCGGAUUCAUUGGGCGUAAAGAGCGCGCAGGCGGUCGAGUAAGUCGAAUGUGAAAGCCCCCGGCUUAACUGGGGAGGGUCAUUCGAUACUGUUCGACUUGAAGGCAGGAGAGGGCAGCAGAAUUCCCGGUGUAGUGGUGAAAUGCGUAGAUAUCGGGAGGAACACCAGUGGCGAAGGCGACUUCCUGGCCUGUUCUUGACGCUGAGGCGCGAAAGCUAGGGGAGCAAACGGGGG